GCAGAUAUAGCUUAAUGGUAAGAGUACUGACCUAGUACAGUGUGCUCUGGGUUCAACUCCCAGUACUGGUG
rnacentral:tRNA from 1 species